AGGGCGGCUCGGGGCAGAGGCGGCCGACUGCCCAAGGUCGGGGAGGUGCCACAGGGGCGGCCCAGGGCGGCGGCGACGCGAGGAAGAGGUCGCAAGUGGGUCACGGCCAGGGCUCAGCCUGGGCUGGCAGAUGCGGCCCGGGGUGGCAGCGGCGGCGCAAGCGACGGCAGCGGUCGGCGGGGAAGGUCGCCGGAGCACGGGGUGACACCGAGGGAGGGUCUGGAGGUGGCGCAGCGCAGAGCCUCCACCCAACCCGAGAGGAGAGAGGGAGAGAGAAAGAAGUGGUGGCUGCGGCGGCGGUUGGCCGGCCGGGCUCAGUCGGCGGCGGCCUGGGCGCGCGCAGCAGGUGCAGGGGAAGGAGAGGGAGGCGGCUGGGGGCUAGGGCAAGGCUAGGGUUAGGGUUUCCAAUGCAAAACCCUAGAAAGCUAUAAAUACUAAGGUGUAACUUUGCAAAAAGGUCCACCAAACACAGGAAUUUCAAUCCGAGAUCCUCACAGUACGACUAAAACGCAUGAACGCCCCUCCACGUGCGAUCCCUCGCGAAACGAUACAUAAAAUAUCGCGACUUUUGCGAAAAUACCGUUUUGCCACUACCGACCUCUCCUCGAUCAACGCGCGAUCUCCGCAGAUCCGUCCGUCAGAUUUGCGAACGGAUUGCACCAGUGCGAUCAGCACGACGGAGACAACAAAGCUACGGUUUCGUUUCGUCUUGAUCGACCACGGAUUCACGACAAAAUCCAACCUUCUUCGAAUAGAAGGAAACACACACAAAAAUACAUAUAAAACAUGUAUUUUUGGAUUUUCUCGAAAUCCGUGUGUCAAACUCAAAAUCCGUCAGCGCCAUUAGUUCCAGAAUAGCUGACCCGGUCGAAACGAGCUAUUGGAUUGCUAUAGACAGAGUCCGGUACGAGCCAGAAGCCAACUUCCCACCGUGGCUUCUCCGGAAAAUCGAGUUACUAUUCACUUUAAGUGAAACUUGGAAAUCGCGCAGAAUUUCCGUUUUAACUCGUUUUCACCCGAAACUUGACGAGUGCUUUUGUAAUUAAAUUACACACAAAAACAUCGUCAACUGAGAGUUUAGCUACACUGCAAAAAUCUCAGUCCUUACACACAUAAAACUCCUUUUGUAUGCUUUCUCUGAAGUGCCUAGCUGAAUUCCGAAAUGCCUAGCAGUAUUCUGAAAUCGGAAUUCAUAAUUCUAAAUUGUAUCGAUUAACCCAAACAUUUUUAGAUUUGCCAAUCUUUGCUUUGGUCAACUGGUGAUUCUUCUAUACAUACCAGUUUUUGCCGGAAUCUAACUGGUCCAUCCAUUUUUUUUAGGGCCUUCUUUGCAUACUUGAGAACUUUGGCAAUUUUUUUUUAUAAUGUAAUGCAAUUAUGGCAAUUUGUGUUGCUGUUUAUUGUUUCUAACCUGCACCACAGUUCUAUCGGCUCCUUUAAUGUUGCCUUGGAACAAGUAGAAGUUUGGAU
rnacentral:lncRNA from 1 species